rnacentral:rRNA from 1 species
CUUCUCUUGAGAGCGGCGGACGGGUGAGUAAUGCCUAGGAAUCUGCCUGGUAGUGGGGGAUAACGUUCGGAAACGGACGCUAAUACCGCAUACGUCCUACGGGAGAAAGCAGGGGACCUUCGGGCCUUGCGCUAUCAGAUGAGCCUAGGUCGGAUUAGCUAGUUGGUGAGGUAAUGGCUCACCAAGGCGACGAUCCGUAACUGGUCUGAGAGGAUGAUCAGUCACACUGGAACUGAGACACGGUCCAGACUCCUACGGGAGGCAGCAGUGGGGAAUAUUGGACAAUGGGCGAAAGCCUGAUCCAGCCAUGCCGCGUGUGUGAAGAAGGUCUUCGGAUUGUAAAGCACUUUAAGUUGGGAGGAAGGGCAGUAAAUUAAUACUUUGCUGUUUUGACGUUACCGACAGAAUAAGCACCGGCUAACUCUGUGCCAGCAGCCGCGGUAAUACAGAGGGUGCAAGCGUUAAUCGGAAUUACUGGGCGUAAAGCGCGCGUAGGUGGUUUGUUAAGUUGGAUGUGAAAUCCCCGGGCUCAACCUGGGAACUGCAUUCAAAACUGACUGACUAGAGUAUGGUAGAGGGUGGUGGAAUUU